UACGUAUGGUGCAAGCGUUAUCCGGAUUUACUGGGCGUAAAGGGAGCGCAGGCGGCGCGCCAAGUCUGAUGUGGAACCCCGGGGCUCAACCCCGGGCAUGCAUUGGAAACUGGCGGGCUGGAGUGCCGGAGAGGUAAGCGGAAUUCCUAGUGUAGCGGUGAAAUGCGUAGAUAUUAGGAGGAACACCAGUGGCGAAGGCGGCUUACUGGACGGCAACUGACGCUGAGGCUCGAAAGCGUGGGGAGCAAACAGG
rnacentral:rRNA from 1 species